rnacentral:rRNA from 1 species
UGCGUAGGUGGUCCGUUAAGUCAGUUGUGAAAUCCCCGGGCUCAACCCGGGAACUGCUUCUGAUACUGGCGGACUUGAGGCCAGUAGAGGUCACUGGAACUGACGGUGGAGCGGUGAAAUGCGUAGAUAUCGUCAGGAACGCCGGUGGUGAAGACGGGUGACUGGGCUGGUUCUGACACUGAGGCACGAAAGCGUGGGGAGCGAACG